GACGGAGGGGGCUAGCGUUGUUCGGAAUUACUGGGCGUAAAGCGUGCGCAGGCGGUUUUGUAAGCCAGAUGUGAAAUCCCCGGGCUUAACCUGGGAAUGGCAUUUGGGACUGCAAGGCUUGAGUGCGGCAGAGGAGACUGGAAUUCCUGGUGUAGCAGUGAAAUGCGUAGAUAUCAGGAGGAACACCGAUGGCGAAGGCAGGUCUCUGGGCUGACACUGACGCUCAUGCACGAAAGCGUGGGGAGCAAACAGG
rnacentral:rRNA from 1 species